CUUGAGCUUGCACUCAUCGUCCACCGCCAUCCCCGACGCCGAGUUCGCCUUUUCCCAAUCCAUUCAUUCACUUGAGGGAAUUACAUUUAGCUUUGGAUAUGAAUCUCUUCUCCACUUCAACUUGGACAAUGCGUGGUAAGGGGAAAAACUCGCAACGGAAAAAGAAGAAGAACGGAAAGGGAACGCACCAUUUCUCAGUUGCAGAUCGACAAGGAGAGUUGACAGGCUCUUUUGAGUUGAUCAGUUUGAUUCGAAUCCUCCUUUCGGUGGUUUUGAGGAGCAAAUGAAAGAAGAAAACGGAACGGGGGAUGGGAUGAGAAGCCGUACGUGAAGAAAAGAGAGAGAAUCCUUAAUGGUUUUCAGGAAGGAGACGAACUCGGACAACCAUUUGCUCCUUCAAAUUCUCCUCACCAUCCCAUAGUUUACGCUUUCUAAUUUUAGCAUACCAUACAUGCAUGCAUACAUUUACUUUUAUAUAACGAUGACGUGGAUACGUAUUCAUGGACGGACAUACACGGAGAAAGUUAUAAUUUUGAUCCGAAAAAA